rnacentral:rRNA from 1 species
AACGAACGCUGGCGGCGUGGAUAAGACAUGCAAGUCGUACGGGGGAUUCCGGUAGCAAUACUGGCCUCCCCAGUGGCGCACGGGUGAGUAACACGUGAGUUACCUGCCCUGCAGCGGGGGAUAGCCCGCCGAAAGGUGGAUUAAUACCCCAUGGCCUCCCGCGCAAGCGGGAGUAAAGGCGGCGCAAGCUGCCGCUGCAGGAUCGGCUCGCGGCCUAUCAGCUAGUUGGCGGGGUAACGGCCCACCAAGGCGACGACGGGUACCUGGUCUGAGAGGACGAUCAGGCACACUGGAACUGAGACACGGUCCAGACACCUACGGGUGGCAGCAGUCGAGGAUCAUUCACAAUGGGGGAAACCCUGAUGGUGCAACGCCGCGUGGAGGAUGACGGUCCUCGGAUUGUAAACUCCUGUCAUCUGGGAGUAAGACCUGACGGUGAACAGCCGGCAGGGUUGAUAGUACCAGAAGAGGAAGGGACGGCUAACUUCGUGCCAGCCGCCGCGGUAACAC